ensembl:snRNA U2 U2 spliceosomal RNA
ACCACUUUUCAGCCUUUUGGCUAAGAUCAAGUGUAGUAUCUGUUCUUACCAGUUUAAACAGAAUUUCUUAUUUCUUAUAGGAAAAGCAAGAUAACAUAAAUUUCAUAAAAGGUAAUGAAUCAAAGUAGUGACUACUUAAUUCCAA